rnacentral:rRNA from 1 species
UACGUAGGGGGCAAGCGUUGUCCGGAAUCAUUGGGCGUAAAGCGCGCGUAGGCGGCCCGGUAAGUCCGCUGUGAAAGUCAAAGGCUCAACCUUUGAAUGCCGGUGGAUACUGUCGGGCUAGAGUCCGGAAGAGGCGAGUGGAAUUCCUGGUGUAGCGGUGAAAUGCGCAGAUAUCAGGAAGAACACCAAUGGCGAAGGCAGCUCUCUGGGACGGUACUGACACUGAGACGCGAAAGCGUGGGGAGCGAACAGG